GGGGCUGUAGCUCAGUGCUGGAGUGCUCACCUAGCAAGUGCGAGGGCCUGGGUUCAAUUCUCAGCACCA
rnacentral:tRNA from 1 species